rnacentral:pre_miRNA from 1 species
CAUGCACCAGUGGGGUCCCUCAGCCUGGCCUGUGCCAUCUCACAAUAUGGGACCCCUCAGGGGAUGUUGGAGAGCUGGUUUUGGCCCAAUCCCGCAGGCCAGGCUGAGGGACCACACUGGUGCACU